CUCCUCUCAGAGUCGCAUCUGGAGUGUUUCCAGUACUCUACCAGCCUGGGCUACUGGAGGGAGAGUCAAGCAGAGGCCCAUCCAUUCCAUUCCUAGCUUGGGCAGUGGCUAGUGAGUGGAAGGCAAACUGCUACAUGU